rnacentral:lncRNA from 1 species
AGCAUUCCUCCCCAUGCUCUCCCACUCCGACCUGGCAGGGGCAUCUGUGGCUCAGAAAGCCUGGUGUCAAGACUCCGAGCCUGCGCUUGUGCCACAGCGCUACCCCUCAGCCUCAGUUUCCCCAGAGAACACCAGCCUCUAUUUCGGCGCCAGUACUGAGGUCGCAUGUAUCAGAGCUCCAGCCCUCCUCCCAGGAAUCUCUCUGUGCCUCAGUUUCCCGGGGUCCGUGCUCUCUGUUCCAGUUCACUCCACCUAGGGUCCGGGGUACCCUGAGGACUGGACUUCCCCACGUCCUUCGGACCUGAGCUCCUCGUCUCUGGUGGGGCAACCCAGGCUCAUAUGUUAAUGAAAAGGGCUGACCUUGUGUAAGACUUCCCAACCAUUACUUCUGUAGACCUCAAUAAACCUCAAUAAAGAUGGCUUCAAAUGGUCAGGACCCGGUGGCUAAUGCCACCAACAUUGUCUGUGAUGAUGUUGUAAAUGAAAGCAUUGCAUUCCUACUGAAGCCUGAGGAAGAAGUGAAGAAGAAAAUUGAGAAAUACAAGGCACCCCCAGAGGCUGUUGAAGCAAAACUGGAAGUGAAGAGAUGUGUGUACCAGAUGAGUGAUGAAGACAGAUAUAUAGUAGCAUACACAUUUGCUUAGGGAGAGUUCAUUUGCUCACCAUUUGCUAAGGCUAAAAGUGAAGUGAGCACCAUGAGACUGAUCCUGUGUCUUCUGAUCAUUCUGGCUGUUUGCUGCUAUGAAGGUACUCCUGUUCCCCAGCUGAAGAGUUCUGAAUCCACGCAGUUGAAUCCUUCUCAACAGUCUGUGUUGCGGGAACACUUCAUUACCACCGUUCCCCAGCUGAAGAGUUCAGAAUCCUCGCGGGAUCCUUCUUAACAGUCUGUUUUAUGGGAACCUUUAUCAACCACUCCUUCCCCGCGAUGCAGUUCUGAAUCCUCCCUGUAGCAGGGGGUCUUCGCUCGUGCCUGAAGAUGUUUCUUGUCCCGGGUUUUGGCACCAUUUCUUGCACACGCUCAACUGGUCAGGAAGAACGACGCUGCAACAGGAUCCUUCUGCACACGUUUAUUGGGAGAACAUUGAUUGCAUAGGCGAAAGAAGAACCCCGAACAAGGAAAAUGAUGCUGCUUAUAUACCCCUCCAUAUGAUGUGUCAGCUCCUGAUUAGCUACUCACUCAUCACCCCACUACUACGUCCCGGGAUGGGCAGUGACUUGGCACGAAUUUACUCUUGCACCUGCGCACAUUACUUGUUUACCAGUUAGGCACAGCAGAGGCUCAUGAUGGCAAUUGCUCACGGCUCUCCACAAACAAUAAUCUUUCUUUAAUCUUUUGCUGUGUGAUUUUGAGGAAUCCAUGCAGUUCCAAGAGCACAUGUUCUAUUGGAAUGUGGUCUGAAUGGAUGUGUAGAAACAUACUAUCCUGGGAUCGAUUUCUUCUACUUGAUGAACUACUUUUCCCUGUUCAACGUAAGAGUUUCAAAGUCUUGCACCAAUAAAUUACUCUGCUUGCAUUUUGUCCUGUUGUUAUCCUAAAUCUCAGCUUUUGCAUUGAACAGGCUUUGAUAAACAAAUAACAAAUAAAUGAAUAAAUAAAUGACAUUUUAAGUAAUGGUAAUAUGUAACAGAGUCAUCUGUACUAUAUUUGUUCAAGCAUCAUCCUGCAUUGCUCUGCAAGUAAGUUCCACAUUUCUGUGGCCAUAAAUAAAAGUUAUCAAAGAUGAUGACAAACAAUGACCUCUUAUGUGGCCACUGUACAAAUUGCUCUGUCUCAUUACUAUCCCUGAUCAAUGUGCCAUUCCCUGCCCAAGCAUGCCAAUUUACUAUCUUCCCCAUUCAACCUACGAUAAUUUUUAUGACAAGCUCCAUAUUCUGAAGUAAAACUUCUGGUUGUCAUAAGCUUAGCUGAAGUAAAUCCACCAUGUUUUUCUCCCUUUCUGCCAUGAAAUUCAGUACAUCUUCUCAGUCAUUCAAAUAUGUAAGCUUGUAUUCUAAUAAAAAAUACAUAUUUAUUUAC